rnacentral:rRNA from 1 species
UACGUAGGGUGCGAGCGUUAAUCGGAAUUACUGGGCGUAAAGCGUGCGCAGGCGGUUCUGAAAGUCAGCUGUGAAAGCCCCGGGCUUAACCUGGGAAUGGCGGUUGAAACUACAGGACUAGAAUCUGGCAGAGGGGGGUGGAAUUCCACGUGUAGCAGUGAAAUGCGUAGAUAUCAUUUGGAACGCCAAUGGUGAAAACAGGUAGCUGGGGCUGUGCUGACGCUGAGACACGAAAGCCAGGGGAGCAAACGGG